rnacentral:tRNA from 6 species
CCGUAGCUCAGCUGGAUAGAGCAACUGACUUCUAAUCUGUAGGUCGAGAGUUCGAAUCUCUCCGGG